GACGUGCCCCGCUGCCAUUGGUCGACGGAGGGUAUAUAAGGGAGCGCCACCGAGGACUUCCCCUCAGUCCGAGUCAGUCGGUCGUGGAACUGAGAGGAGGAUCUUGGCUUCCUCCUCUUCCUACACCUGGUAUACGGUGAUUACAGGUGCCAUGGUACCAAGCAAGGGCUGGUCGUGGAUGCUGGUGGCGGCGGCGGCGGUGCUGGCGACGGCGGGGGGAGCGGCGUAUCCUCCCGCCCCCCCGCAACAAAUGGUGGCAGCGCUGGGAUCGGGAAGGCUGCCCCCACUCUUCCCCCGCCCCCUCUACCGCCUGCCCCCCAGCAAAAGAUACCUGGGCAUCGAACUGCCGGACUUCAUCGCCGCCAACAAGGGGCUUGGGGACCUCAAGGAGCGCAUGAUGACGUCAGGCAAGUAGCGGAAGUGACGUCACGCCCCGCCAGCCAAUCGCGUCCCGCCCCCACGCCGCGCCACCCAAUGACAUCACGCCAACCCUCUGACGUCACGGACUCUUGCUGACGUCAUGUGUUUACUUUUGUUUUGGUAGCGAUUUGCAUUUGUUUUUGUUGAUUUUGGGGAAGUUUUGAAAGGAAUAUUAGAAGAAGAGGAAGAUGAAAUAGAAGCAGCAGUUAUGGAAGAAGAUAAAGAAGAGGAAGAAAUGAUUUGGAUGAGUUUUGGGAAAGUUCUGAAAGGAAUUUUAACAGAAGAGAAAGAUUAACAAGACGAGAAAGAAGUGAUGAUUUUGAAAGGAAUAUUAGAAGAGGAGGAAGAAAGAGAAGUAAUAAUUAUGGAAGAAGAUAAAGCAAGAGAAGAAAUGAGAAAUAACUUAAUUGGUCAUUAGAGAAGAUUUAGAAGAAUCCUACGAAGACCAAAAAUGAAAUGAAAAUAAAAACCUAUACUGAGAACUGGACAAAAUGGAGAGAAGAAGGAAUUAAAAAAAGAUCCUAUAUUGAUUGAACACUGGAGAAGAUAGACAUUGAAGAACAAGAAGAAAGAAAGAAGGAACUAAAUCAGAACUUAAUUGGACAUAAAGAAAAAUAAUGAUAUGAUAAAUAAUACGAAUAAGAUUAAGAAGGAGGAAAAAAAGAGAAGAAAAAAUCGAACUGUAAAAUAAGUUAAGUUGAACACUGGAGAAAAAAAAUAAAGAAGAAGAAGCAGAUGAAAUAAAAAGCUAAAUAAAAAUAAUAACAGGAUAAGAAGAGCAGAAAAUAACAAGAAUAAGAUUAAGAAGAAGAGGAAGAAAAAUAUACUUAACAAACCCACAAAUCACACACACACACACUCAGUUAAUUUCAAUACACCCAAAAUAAAUAAAUAAAAUCAUAUAUAUAAUUUCCACACAACUAAUAGAACAAUUAUAUUUUUCCCCUUCUGUCAAAUUUGUGAAUAAAAAAACUAAUUUCUUGAAGUGCAAAAAAACAGUAUGUCAAAUAGUUAUUCCAAAUAUAUGUUAACUGGGUACAGC